rnacentral:rRNA from 1 species
UACGUAGGGUGCGAGCGUUAAUCGGAAUUACUGGGCGUAAAGGGUGCGCAGGCGGUUAUAUAAGACAGAUGUGAAAUCCCCGGGCUCAACCUGGGAACUGCGUUUGUGACUGUAUGACUAGAGUACGGUAGAGAGGGGUGGAAUUCCUGGUGUAGCAGUGAAUGACGUAGAUAUCAGGAGGAACAUCGAUGGCGAAGGCAGCCCCUUGGACCUGUACUGACGCUCAUGCACGAAAGCGUGGGGAGCAAACAGG